rnacentral:misc_RNA from 1 species
GAUGAAGAACGCAGCGAAAUGCGAUAAGUAAUGUGAAUUGCAGAAUACAGUGAAUCAUCGAAUCUUUGAACGCACAUUGCGCCCGCCAGUAUUCUGGCGGGCAUGCCUGUCCGAGCGUCAUUUCAACCCUCGAACCCCUCCGGGGGGUCGGCGUUGGGGCUCGGGAACCCCUAAGACGGGAUCCCGGCCCCGAAAUACAGUGGCGGUCUCGCCGCAGCCUCUCCUGCGCAGUAGUUUGCACAACUCGCACCGGGAGCGCGGCGCGUCCACGUCCGUAAAACACCCAACUUCUGAAAUGUUGACCUCGGAUCAGGUAGGAAUACCCGCUGAACUUAAGCAUAUCAAUAAGCGGAGGA